AUGUUAUUCUUGCAGUAUGUAUUACCAAAAAUUCCAGACCACAUAAGCUGCCUGUCGUCUCACAGCGCGAACCAAUGAAAGUGAAUUCGUACCAAGCAAAGUGAAGCCCUUACACAAGCUAUAUUUUUCAAGUCUUUAAAGAGAUCACUCGACAUAGACAGAAUAAUCUUUUCAUGGCUUCUUGAAUGACUCCGUCGCUGAUGCAUCGCGGUUAAUGUAUUCUAAAGUAUAUUUACUUGAAUCUGGCUAUUGGCAAAAGUUAAGUACCCGUGUUUAGUAAUGUCGCAUUCAUCAGAGGCCUCUGAGCCAGUCAGCGGGAUGGAGCACUCUGCAAUGCCACAGAGCCCCAGAUGCUGGAUGGUCUUGGGUGUGAGAAACUCGGAAACUCGCUUGUUUGACGAGCUCUACUUUAACUGCCAACCUAGGCUGUAAUCCCUGUGAAUAUUCCAUGAGGGGCGUGUACGUCCAGAUGCUCUGUGGAAUCAGACAUCAGCCAAUGUAUGGUCAACAUUUGUCAAUAUUGUGUCUUGUGUUGAGCCAUAAUCAAUCCAAGAGAUACUACAACAGAGCUAUCAAACUAGCUUUGGAAUACUGUAAUGUACUAAUGUACUAGAACAUGGACAUAAGUUUUCAUCACAGCAGGACACAUCUUCUUACCUCACUCUCAGAUCUGUUAAUCAGGCACAAGUCGUGGACAGUAAUCCCCUGAACCCUUCAGCCUAUCCUAUUAGAUUAAGAAGUUAAAGCACCCAACCUGACAACCUCCCUCUGCAAUGGCUCUACAGGCUGGGGCUAAAGUGUACCACACACUGACCGUGUCAGUCAUCUUACUGUAAACACUUUUAACUUCUGACCACCAUACAUUGAAUGGAGAGUUUAUUUGGAAUAUUGAGAUAUCAGGUUUCUUGACGAUGGACAACUCACAUAUUCCUAAAAUGCAUGGCACACCUACAAUGUCAGAGGCCGAAAGAAUAUAGCACAUUGCUUGACUAUUCCCAACAUUUUUUUAAACCUUCAAUUGUGCUAUUUUGGAUUAGACAUCAUUACUAAAAGUUGAACAACUUGACAAUAUGUGUUGUAUCACAUUAAAGUCAUUCAAGGAGCUCUACAUUGUCUGAUAGUUUUCCCAUUGUUCAUUGAUAAUUUUACUGUGAACUUCAACCUUACACCUCACAACCACCAAAUAGUUAACUGUGUGUGUGUGUGUGUGUGUGUGUGUGUGUGUGUGUGUGUGUGCGUGUGCGUGUGCGUGUGCGUGUGCGUGUGUGUGUGCGUGUGCGUGUGCCUGUGCGUGUGUGUGCAUGUGUGUGUGGUGGAUGCAACCUGUUCAAAGUCUUGUUUCCUGCCAGCAUGCGGCAAACAUAUGCAACAGAAUUAAAGCCCUAAAGCUCACAAAUUGAUGAGGAUUUAAUGCAGAGUGCAAUUCCUGGGAAUUAAACAAAUUAGUGAUCUAAUUAGAGAUUUGGUCAACAAAAAUGAAUUAGAUGGAUUUGUCAUUGCUCUAAUGAACAUAGAUGGAAAUUGGGUAUUGAGAUGUUUGUCUCUUGUAUUUUAGCCCUUUCCCAUUAAUAGAUUCAUUCUAUUUUCUUUCUACAAUGUAAUCUAAUCUACAUGUCAGAUGUAUUGCUUUAUCUGAAGAAAAAAAACUAAUGUGAAUUGCAAUAAACAAGCAGCAUAAUUCAUUAAAAAAAACAACUCAAGUAUUGUGAAUUUAAAUGUCAACCUUUGGAAAUCACAUAGGAAUUUCCUAUUAAUGGAAUAACUGAUAGCUGAUGAUUGACUUUUCUUUUUAAUCUUGUUGUAUUCUCCAGAUAUGAUUUUCUGACCAUGCUGCUGCAUAUUUUAACACGUUUUGCCCUUUGGGAAAGAAAUAUGGUGCCAGUUCCCUAUCCAUUUUCAGAUCUGUUUAAAGAUCAUUAUUAUUGUAUACUGUAUCAUAACUCUUUCACAUUUCCAGUUGAGUUUGAUUGACUGUUGGGUUUGAUUGACUGUUGGGUUUGAUUGACUGUUGGGUUUGAUUGGACCUGUAUACCUUCUACUUGUUGUUGCCUGUGAUGACUUUGACAAUGACCUUGUCCUCUUGGCCUAUCCAUGUCCA